rnacentral:rRNA from 1 species
CCUACGGGGGGCUGCAGUAAGGAAUAUUGGUCAAUGGACGCAAGUCUGAACCAGCCAUGCCGCGUGGAGGAUGAAGGUCCUCUGGAUUGUAAACUUCUUUUAUUGGGGAAGAAACUCCAGAUUUCCAUCGGGAUUGACGGUACCAGAUGAAUAAGCACCGGCUAACUCCGUGCCAGCAGCCGCGGUAAUACGGAGGGUGCAAGCGUUACCCGGUUUCACUGGGUUGAAGGGGGGCGGGUGUGGGCGGGUUGAAAUCUCCGGGCUUAACCCGGAAACUGCCAUUGAUACUAUUUGUCUUGAAUACUCUGGCGGUGAGCGGAAUAUGUCAUGUAGCGGUGAAAUGCUUAGAUAUGACAUAGAACACCCAUUGCGACGGCAGCUCACUACGGAAAUAUUGACGCUGAGGCACGAAAGCGUGGGGAUCAAACAGGAUUAGAUACCCGUGUAGUC